GACGAACGCUGGCGGCGUGCUUAACACAUGCAAGUCGAACGGCAACGCCUUUUCGGCUUUACUCUAGUGGCGAACGGUUGCGUAACAGUUAGGUGAUCUUCCCUGUCCUCUUUGUUAUGCCUGGGAAACUGGGUCUAAUACCGCUAAUACCCGCACCUUCGUGUGUGUGGUGGAAAGUUUUUUGGGUGUCGUGUGAGCCCGCGGGCUAUCAGCUCGUUUGUGUGGUUAUGUCUUGCCAAGGCGGCCGCGGGUAGCCGGACUUAGCGGUUGGGCGGCGACAUUGGGACUUAGGGAAGGCACAGACUCGUACGGGAGGAAGAAGUGGGGAAUAUUGCACAAGGGGUGCAAGCCUGAUGAAGAGGGGCUGCGUGGGGGAUGACGGCCUUCGGGUGGUAAAAUCGUUUCGGCAGGGACGAAGCGUUUUGUGACGGUACCUGAAGAAGAAGCACCGGCUAACUACGUG
rnacentral:rRNA from 1 species